GCCUAUAAUCUAGCCCCCCCAUUCGCAUGACACCCCCAACCUACCGCCCCUAAAUAAAACAUUUUAUUAUUUUAGUACAGGCGAUCGAAAAACUUCUAGGCGCCACAGACAAAGUACCGCAAGGGAAUAAUGAAAUAGAAAUGAAAUAACCCCAAAGCCUUAAACAGCAUAGUUACCCCCUUGUACCUUUUGCAUCAUGGUCUAGCUAGUCUACCCAAGCAAAAUAAAACUUUUAGUUUGAAAUCCCGAAACUAAGCGAGCUACUUCAAAACAGCCUUAAGAGCCAAUCCGUCUCUGUUGCAAAAGAGUGGAAAGAUUUUCAAGUAGAGGUGAUAAGCCUACCGAGCUUAGAGAUAGCUGGUUGUUUAGGAAAAGAGUUUUAGCUCUACCUUAAGUUUUAUGAUUCUUAUCAACAAACCCUUAAACUUAAGAGCUAUUCAAAUAAGGCACAGCUUUUUUGAAACAGGGUACAACCUCGAACACCGGGUAAAUAAAGGGAGCAUAAAUAAAGUUGGCCUAAAAGCAGCCAUCUUACAGAAAGCGUUAAAGCUCAACUACUAACCCACCCACGAUUCCUCAAGCCUCCAUUAACCCUUCCCCACUACUAAACUAUUUUAUAUUAAUAUAAAAGCUAUUAUGCUAGAACUAGUAACAAGAAAUUGCCCUUCUCCAAAAUGUAAGCUUAAACUAAAAUGGACACUCCAUUAGUAACUAACGCAAAUGGAAUAAUUAUAAUAACAUAUACCAGAAAACCUUAUAACCAUACGCGUCACCCUAACACUAGAACAUUUCAGGAAAGAUUAAAAGAGAAAGAAGGAACUCGGCAAACUUUAGCCCCGCCUGUUUACCAAAAACAUCGCCUCUUGAUAAAAUAUAAGAGGUCCAGCCUGCCCAGUGAUAAAAUUCAACGGCCGCGGUACCCUAACCGUGCGAAGGUAGCAUAAUCACUUGUUCUCUAAAUAGGGACUAGUAUCAACGGCAUCACGAGGGCUAUACUGUCUCCUUUCUCUAAUCAGUGAAACUGAUCCCCCCGUGAAGAAGCGGGGAUUUAAAUAUAAGACGAGAAGACCCCAUGGAGCUUUAAACUUAACAUGUACCUCUAUAUUCUAUAUCAAAUUAAUUCUAGAACUCUAUGUGUUAGUUUUAGGUUGGGGUGACCGCGGAGUAUAAUUUAACCUCCAUGACAAAUGGGCUAUGCCCUUAUCCAUGAACUACAACUCUAAGAAUCAUAAACUGAUGUUUAUUGACCCGAUAACUCGAUCAACGAACCAAGUUACCCUGGGGAUAACAGCGCAAUCUACUUCAAGAGCCCCUAUCGACAAGUAGGUUUACGACCUCGAUGUUGGAUCAGGGUAUCCUAGUGGUGCAGCCGCUUCUAAUGGUUCGUUUGUUCAACGAUUAAAACCCUACGUGAUCUGAGUUCAGACCGGAGCAAUCCAGGUCGGUUUCUAUCUAUAAAGUGCUUCCCCUAGUACGAAAGGACCGGGGUAACAUGGCCAAUGGAAUAAUAAGCCAUACUUCUUUACUAAUGAAAUAAUCUUAAUUAGCUUGAGCCUAAAAUUUUUUCUCAAAACCAGAGUUU
rnacentral:rRNA from 1 species